rnacentral:rRNA from 1 species
GACAAACGCUGGCGGCAUGCCUAACACAUGCAAGUCGAACGGACAGAACAGGGAAGCUUUUCGGAGUGGAACUGGAAAGUUAGUGGCGGAUGGGUGAGUAACGCGUGGACAACCUACCUUGUAAAGGGGAAUAACCUCGAGAAAUCGAAGCUAAUACCCCAUAAUAACCUUGCUUCGCAUGAAGUAAGGAGGAAAGGCGGCCUUAGCGCUGUCGAUACAAGAUGGGUCCGCGUCUGAUUAGCUAGUUGGUGAGGUAAAGGCUCACCAAGGCGACGAUCAGUAGCCGGCCUGAGAGGGUGAACGGCCACAUUGGGACUGAGACACGGCCCAAACUCCUACGGGAGGCAGCAGUGGGGAAUCUUCCGCAAUGGGCGAAAGCCUGACGGAGCAAUGCCGCGUGAGUGAAGAAGGCCUUCGGGUUGUAAAACUCUGUCCUUAUCGAAGAGAGAGUGUUGUAGUAUUGACAAUACUAGGACGGUAGAUGAGGAGGAAGCCCCGGCUAACUAUGUG